UGAGUACAAGAUGCUACGGCAUUGAAGCAGUCUAUGUCAUACUUCCAAGAAAAGCUUGCAAUGUCAUAAACAAAUAAUGCCUGUACCAUAACCGACACAGGUGGGUAGGUAGAGUAUACUAAGGGGCGCGAGAUAACUCUCUCUAAGGAACUCGGCAAAAUGACUCCGUAACUUCGGGAGAAGGAGUACCUUAUUUUAUAAGGUUGCAAUAACAAGGUCCAAGCAACUGUUUACCAAAAACACAGGUCUCCGCUAAGUCGUAAGACGAUGUAUGGGGGCUGACGCCUGCCCAGUGCCAGAAGGUUAAAGAAGUUGGUUAGCAUUAGCGAAGCUGAUAACUGAAGCCCUGGUGAACGGCGGCCGUAACGAUAACGGUCCUAAGGUAGCGAAAUUCCUUGUCGGGUAAGUUCCGACCCGCACGAAAGGCGUAAUGAUUUGGAUACUGUCUCGGAGAGGGGCUCGGUGAAAUAGACUUGUCUGUGAAGAUGCGGACUACCUGCACCUGGACAGAAAGACCCUAUGAAGCUUUACUGUAACUUGAGAUUGAAAUUGGACUUUAUUUGCGCAGUAUAGGUGGGAGACCUCGAAAGUAUUCUUGCGGGAAUAUUGGAGUCAUCAGUGAGAUACCACUCUUAUAAUGUUAGAUUUCUAACUUUGUAUCAUUAUCUGGUCAAAGAACAGUUUCAGGCGGGCAGUUUGACCGGGGCGGUCGCCUCCCAAAUGGUAACGGAGGCGCACAAAGGUUUCCUCUGAACGUGUAGAAAUCGUAUCUAGAGUGUAAAGGCAUAAGGAAGCUUGACUGUGAGACCUACAAGUCGAGCAGGGACGAAAGUCGGUCUUAGUGAUCUGACGGUGCUGAGUGGAAAGGCCGUCACUCAACGGAUAAAAGUUACUCUAAGGAUAACAGGCUGAUCUCCCCCAAGAGUUCACAUCGACGGGGAGGUUUGGCACCUCGAUGUCGGCUCAUCGCAUCCUGGGGCGGUAGUACGUCCCAAGGGUUGGGCUGUUCGCCCAUGAAAGCGGUACGCGAGCUGGGUUCAGAACGUCGUGAGACAGUUCGGUCCAUAUCCGGUGUAGGCGUUAGAAUAUUGAGAGGAGCCUUCUUUAGUACGAGAGGACCGAGAAGGACAUACCUCUGGUGUACCAGUUAUCGUGCCAACGGUAAACGCUGGGUAGCUAUGUAUGGAGAGGAUAACCGCUGAAAGCAUCUAAGUGGGAAGCCCACCUCAAGAUAAG
rnacentral:rRNA from 1 species